ensembl:lncRNA
GCCGAGGUGGGCAGAUCACGAGGUCAGGAAUUCAAGACCAGCCUGGCCAAGAUGGUGAAACCCUAUCUCUACUUAAAAUAAAAAAUUUUUAAAAAUUAUCUGGCAUAGUGGCAGGCUCCUAUAAUCCCAGCUACUCAGGAGGCUGAAGCAGGAGAAUUGCUUGAGCCCAGGAGGCGGAGGUUGCAGUGAGCUGAGACCAUGCCACUGCACUCUAGUCUGGGCGACAAGAGUGAAACUCCAUCUCAAAAAAAAAAAAAAAAGAAAAGAAAAAGAAAAAGGAAGAAAAGAAAGAAAUUCUGCACAUCCCCUUGUUUAGGCACCCUGGAGACCGGCUGUAAGUGGUCUGCUGUGUACUGUCCCAGCUCUCCAGGUAGUCCCAUCCUUGUCAGUCAUUCCCAAAUUAGGAAAUUAGGGAAGGGUAGACCAUCACAUCCACAAAUGAUACCACCUCAUUCUCAUCCCACAUUCUCGUAGCCCCAGAGCAAAUGCCUGUGAGCCAUGGCCCUGUCCCUGAGAGCCUGGACCUUGAGUAAUUUAAGCAGAGCGCCUUGGACCUCUUCUGAAAAAUUCUUCUCUCAGAGCCUAUUCCUAUAUAGAACUUUUAAAAAGUUCUUCUGUGGCUGGAAACCCCAAGAGAAUGAAUACAGAGGAAUGAAAUGUAAGUCACUCUUGCUUGAGGUGGGGCACAGAUGGACUGAUCCUCUUCCACAAGGCCCCUGGCAUGGCCCCCUGAGGUCAGGUUAGGUGCACAUCGGCAGUUUCUGCAGCUGUCGUUGGAGAGGUAUUGCUGUUGCUAUUGUUGUUUGGUUUAUAGAGCCCUUUUUAAUGUAUAUGAAGAAAUGGUUUUUAAAAAUAUUUACCUAUUCUAAAUCUAGAACUGAAAUAUGAGCAUUCAUUUCGAAAGUGAAACCUCCCCCCUCCAGAAAAAAAGAUUUCUUUUGAAUUAAUGUCUGGGUGGGAGUGGGGAUGGUGAGGGUAAUGGGGAGAGACAUGAAACAGCACCCCGGAAAACCCACAGGAGGGGAGCUGACUGGGUGUUGGGGUCCAAGGCUUGGAUGUGAGCAAAGAAGGUGAAACGUCCUCAGAGAACUGAACUCAGAGGCCUACAAAUGUUUCCUCGCCGUGCAACAGUCAGUUUCCAAAUGUUAGCAACGUCCCACAUUGUCCAGAGGCACUUCUACAAGGACCUCAGAGGAAACGCUUUGGGGAAAGGUUGGAAGUUAGGAGUAGGUUCGUGGACAGCACAGCUGUGAAGUCCCUUCAGACUGUGGUGGGCCUCUGAGGGAAAUACAGGGAGGAAAAUAAAGGCUUCUGUGGAGGAAAAGAGUCUUUUGUGCCAUUUACCAUGAUAGACAGGGCUUCUGUGAACAUUAUUUAUACCACCAGUGAAACAGCUGUGCGUUCCUGUCAUCCAUGGGACAUGUUUGUGAACACAUCAGGGAAGAAAAAAAUGGACAAAAACAAAAGACAGGGCUUCCUUAUAAUGAUGAGGAUUUCUGCUUGCAGGAACUAAAUGAAGGUGUAGCCUAUCCAGAUGUAUUUCUAUAAAUAAUAAAAUGUGAGAUUGUUCAGUCAUUCAUGUGAGAGUGUGGGUGUGGGUGUUCAUCUUUAUUCUAAAAGCCGCCCCACCUAGAAGCCUUGUAAAAAGUCAUCAAUUUGAGCAGCUGAUUGGUAAAUAGAUACAUGUUUAUAUGGCACACGUGUAUCAUUACAUCAACAUAGCUGAGAGUAAUGGUAGCCAAAAAAAUCUGAAACUUCAUCCUUCAAUGUUUAUUCGACUAACAUGUAUUAAAUCCCAGCUAUGAACACAGGGCUAUAUUGUGCAUUAUAAUAAUAAAUAAAAUUUAGUCUCUACACUCAAACGUCUUAUAAUCCAUUUGGUAAGAUGACACAUGCAAAGCCAGGGAGGACAGUCAUUGAGACACUUGAGGCACAGAUAGACUGCCAUGUGUGGUCAGAAGAGGGAGAGAGUGUUAUGACCAUGGGUUGAAGAAAGACCAUGGUGGAAUUUGCCUUUGAGGUGGUCUGUAAAGAGUGAGACUGCUUAACUAAGGUGAGGAGAAGUAGCUAAUUACAGACCCAAGGCAGGACCUAGUGGGAUGCAAGUGCAUGAGUCUGAAGGUGGACAAGUUCACCUUUUCUCUGGAGUUCAGCGACAUGUGAUGCCUACAUGUAGAGUCACAUAGGAAUUACCAGUCCCUUUGUGAUAAAUGAGAAAACCUAGAGAGAGCCAAAAUGUCACAGCCCAGACUCACUUAUGACUGCCACCCCGUCCAUGUCUGUCGGUCACCAGACAGCCCUGACCCAGGAAGCUCUUGUACACUCCACUUGCGGAGCUGUACCCUUUGAUAAAUAAAGCUCUGCCCCAGCAGCCACUUCCUAAGUUGAUUCAUCAACCACAUGUUACUGUAUUGAUAUGAGACCCUCUACAGUCUUAUAUAGCACAGGAAUCACGUCAAGCUAUGGAAAAGCACCUUAUUGUAACUUCCCAAACAUCACCAAAAGAGGAAGUCUUCCUGGAGAGUGUGGCAACACAACUGAGCCUUAAAGGAUGGCAAGUGCAGAGAUGUGAAGGAGAAGAGCCCACCCAGCUCUAGGGGCACAUACAAGGUGGGCAGAGGGGAAUGUGCUGUGUGAUCUGAACCUCCCCCCAAGUAUUUGUGGGACCAUGGCUACAUGCUUGAGAAAGAGCAGGAGAAAAGGUUAAAAACAUUAAUUUGGAGGGUCAGGAUAGAAUAAGGCAUUUUUGAAGACAGAAAUGUCACAGUGAUAUCAUUUCUUUGGCAAGGUUCAUCUGGAGAAUGCAUGAGACAUGAAAUGGAGCAUGGAAAGAGACUGGCAUGAGGCAGAGCCGGUCAGAGAGGGGAUUCAUGAAGAGCUGAAGAGAGGAGGUGGCAGGACUAACUAAAAGUGGGACAGUCACUUGUUAUAGUGAAGGUAGGAUGGAUAGAACUGGGCAACUAAUUAAGAGGGAGAGCCCAUGUUUGUGACUACAUGGUGGCUGGAAGAACAGGAGAAUAUGUCCAAACCUGGAAAACCAGGAAGAGAAGAUCCUUGGUGAGAAGCAGUCAAUGAGUUUGCUUCGGGAUAUAUUGAGUUCCCAAACUCAUCAAGAGGUGAGGCGUCCAGGUAGCAAAUGCAGACAUGGGACUGGAGUCUGAAGAGAAGCCAGAUCUGGAGGAAGAGCUUCGAUAGUUCACAUUCAUAGACAUAAUAGUCAAAGCCCAGGAAAUGCCCAAGUUCUACAAGAAGGUUGUACACAGACAGCAAAGAAAGCCUUAAAGAAUCUUACUUUAGGGAGCAAGAACAAAGAAGAUGAAAGGAGGUGUCAGAGAGGUAAAGAAAAGUCUCGAGUUGCCACAGUGUGGAGAACAUACCAAGGGUAGAGAGCUUUUCAAGGAAGGCAUUUUCAAGGGUGUUGCAGAGAAGUCUGGGAGGGAAGAAUUGAAUCAACUGGUGGUACCUUGACAUUUGAGAAAGCAAUUUCAGGAGAGCAGUGGGAGUAAAAAGCAGGUUCCUGGUGCUGAGGAGUGGAAGAUAGUGAGAAUUUGGAGGUGGAAAAUUAGGCUGCUUUCUGUGGGGUAUGAGGUAUGCAGAGGAGUGGGUAGGGGAAAAUGUACUCUCAAAGAAGGUCAGCUGUGAGGCCAAGGUCAAGGGAUGAUGGGUUCCACUCAUUGGGCAAGCCUGAGCAUGUUUGUAAGCACAGAGAAAUGGACCCGAAUAUGUUUGUGAGAUUGUAGAAUUGUUUUAUUUUUGAAAAAGAAAAAUUCUAGGAUGGCUUUGGCUGUAUUUUAUGUAUUUUAUGUAAAUAUGAUGCUAUACUCCAUCUGAAACCGUAGAUGUGUACAUACUAUAGUUCAUAUCUGUAAGUGAUCAAUAAAUGUUUAGCAAUAUAUGGCUGGCACAUCACAGAUAGUCAACAAAUAUUUUUUGCAAAUUACACAUCUUGAUAAUAUCUAUAUUGGCAUGCCUGUUCUCCAUGAAAUAACUUACUUAACUGUGCUCGUAUUAAUCUUAGUUAUGAAACAGAUCAUUUAGAAGGUAACAUUAGAAACAAAAAACUAAACUCAAAUACAUAAUUUGCCAGGCCUCAUAAGCUGCACUUUGAUGUUCUAACAACUUCCCAAUAAGUCCGAAGCCAUCUGUUAAACACACAAUUCAUUCACAGUGGGAGGAUUAACAUUGAAAGUAUCUGUCUUUCAUAUAGUUAGUUAUUAGUUAUUAUACUAUCUGUCUUUCAUAUAGUAUAGUUAGUAAUUACUGAAAAUAAGAUAAUCCUGUUAAUGGCCACAACAUGAUUUUGAUGGUUAGUAUAUUCUCUAGCCAUGAAAACCCAGACCUAAGCCUCCCCAUUCUGCCAUUCACACUGCAGCAUGUGCCAUCUGACCUAAGAGGAGACGACAGCCUCUCCUCUUCCACCGUAGACUUCAUUUGAACUGUGAGAACCAAGUUUGCCAAAUGACAUUUGUGCUAGAGGAAGCACUCACAUCAGGCCAACCACCCAAAGCAAUAUAAUAUUUAACCACAUAUUUCGGUGCUGGCAUUCGUACCCACAUAAAUAUUAACCAAUCGAAACUUACAGUCUCCUUGCCAAAUUCUCAGAAGAAUGGCUGAAGAAGUAUCACAUGGUGUGAAUCUAUACAAUUUUACACUGAUUCCUGUGUAAUUCGGGGGAAUUAUCUAGCUUUGUUUAGUACAGUUGAGAAACUCAAAGAAUAAGAAAAUUGUUGGGGCCAGGCACAAUGGCUUUUGCCUGGAAUCCCAGCACAUUAGGAUGCCAGCUGGAGAAUUGCUUGAGGCCAGGAGUUUGAGACAAGCCUGGGCAACAUAGUGAGACUCCACCUUUACAAAAGACAAAAAUAAUUAGUAAGGCCCGGAGGCAUGCAUUUCUAGUCCCAGGUAGUUGAGAGGCUAAGGCAGGAGGAUCACUUGAGCCCAGGAAUUUGAGGCUACAGUGAGCUAUGAUCACACCACUGCACUCCAGCCUGGGCGACAGAGCAAGACUCCGUCUCGAAAAAAAAAAAAAAAAAAAAAAAA